GUGCCCCUUAAAGGUGGUGCUGUACUUAAGAGGCUAACACAGAAGGGUAAAGCAACUCUUCAUAAAACCCAGGGAGGAGACUGUAUGCCUCUUUGGAUCCUGUGUGGGAGAAAAAU
ensembl:snoRNA LOC120098404 small nucleolar RNA SNORA26